ACAUUGGUUCAGUGGUAGAAUUCUCGUCUGCUACAUGGGAGGCCCGGGUUAAUUUCCUGGCCAAUGUA
rfam:Alligator mississippiensis ScZkoYb_128, whole genome shotgun sequence.